rnacentral:tRNA from 1 species
GUCUCCAUAGUUCAAUGGAUAGAACGAGGGACUCCUAAGCCCUAGAUAGUGGUUCGAUUCCACUUGGAGACGCCA